rnacentral:RNase_P_RNA from 1 species
AGCUCACCAGCGAUUAGGUGACUAAUCGGCUAGGUAAACCCCAUUCGGAGCAAGGUCAAAUAGGGAAGAAGAGGUAGCCCGCCUCGCUAUACUUCCGGGUUGACCGCAUGAGGCCUUAGGUAACUAAGGUCCUAGAUAGAUGAUCAUCCACGACAGAACUCGGCUUACCGGUUCACUCAGAAC